rnacentral:rRNA from 1 species
AGGUCAGCAUACUGCCGUGAAUACGUUCCCGGGCCUUGUACACACCGCCCGUCACACCCAUGAGAGUUGGGAAUACCCGAAGCCUGUGAGCCAACAGUAACUGAGGCAGCAGUCGAAGGUAGAAUCAAUGAUUGGGGUGAAGUCGUAACAAGGUACC